rnacentral:rRNA from 1 species
UACGUAGGGUGCGAGCGUUGUCCGGAAUUAUUGGGCGUAAAGAGCUCGUAGGCGGCCUGUUGCGUCCGCUGUGAAAUCCCGGGGCUCAACCCCGGGCCUGCAGUGGAUACGGGCUGGCUGGAGGCAGGCAGGGGAGAACGGAAUUCCUGGUGUAGCGGUGAAAUGCGCAGAUAUCAGGAAGAACACCUAUGGCGAAGGCAGCUCUCUGGGACGGUACUGACGCUGAGACGCGAAAGCGUGGGGAGCGAACAGG